rnacentral:lncRNA from 1 species
CAGAGCCGUGUUACAAACUGCUUCCCGCUUCUGUUGUUUAGCGUUAUGUAGCUACCACGGCUGGCCAAGAGGCUGUAAAUCUUGCCUGGUGUUUUGUAACAAAGGAAAAAAUAGAAUGAUUUGUGUUGACUUUUGGUCAUCGUGUAUCAUUAUCGAUCCGGGGGAGGGCGGCGGGGAGCGCGUAGCGCGGAUCUGUUGCUCGCCGCUUCUCCGGGAAGGCGGCGUGAGCCGGCAGUCAGUAGAGGGCAAUAGAGAAAUACAGUUUGUGAUGCCUAAAGGAUUUGAAGCCCUGAUUAUGUGUUUACAGAAAAGAAAAAGAAGAAAAGAAGAGCCAGGAGGAUAGGUUGUUCAGUUUACUACCGGAGACCUGACUGUGACAGACCACCAAGAAAACAGAAUUUUCAAAGAGAGUAGAGAAGACCUUCUGCAGCAUCUGCAAGUCUGUCCUUUUUUCUUCAGAGUUACGUAGGAUAACUUAGCCAGAACUUAUUGAUGUCUGCAUGUUCAGUGGACUCGGGGAUGGACUGGGAGAUGCGGAAACGUACUCUUUGGAAGAAACAGGAGAGGAGGCAUUUCAAAGAUCCUGCAGGUGACAAAGGGAAGAAGGUGUUCAAACAAUUGGAAACUUUUCAAUCAAGAAUGUGGAGAUAAUAGGUUAAAUAGGGCUGAUAAUUCAUGGUGAUGAUCUGCUGACAGAAUAAAUAAAUCAUAGAAAGUGCCGAGACUGCACAGGCAUUUGCUGUGGUAUUCCUACAUGAGAAACCUUUGUCACAGUCUUUCUUCAAGUAUGUUCUCUCCUGGGGGUUCAUUAUUUUUCAGAGGAUGGGUCUUUCUGCCCUGCAGGGAUCUAUCUAUCACUGCUGACUCUCUGCAUCUUCUCCACAUGGAAGAAGUAAUUGGAUUGUAUUUUCUGCACACGACCAAGACAGCAGGGAAACCCACAGCUGUAAGCCAGAGAACCAAGCUGUCUAGAGAGCUGGGCCUGGGCCUCACCAGCAUGCCUAAUAAUGUCACCAGGACUAAGGACAUGAGGAGAAUGAGUUGUCUCAUACCCAGAAGUGAAACAUGCCAGUACAAAGAUAAAAACCAAAAGUGA